GUACACUCCUACGGGAGGCAGCAGUGGGGAAUUUUGGACAAUGGGCGAAAGCCUGAUCCAGCAAUGCCGCGUGUGUGAAGAAGGCCUUCGGGUUGUAAAGCACUUUUGUCCGGAAAGAAAUCCUUGGCUCUAAUACAGUCGGGGGAUGACGGUACCGGAAGAAUAAGCACCGGCUAACUACGUGCCAGCAGCCGCGGUAAUACGUAGGGUGCGAGCGUUAAUCGGAAUUACUGGGCGUAAAGCGUGCGCAGGCGGUUUGCUAAGACCGAUGUGAAAUCCCCGGGCUCAACCUGGGAACUGCAUUGGUGACUGGCAGGCUAGAGUAUGGCAGAGGGGGGUAGAAUUCCACGUGUAGCAGUGAAAUGCGUAGAGAUGUGGAGGAAUACCGAUGGCGAAGGCAGCCCCCUGGGCCAAUACUGACGCUCAUGCACGAAAGCGUGGGGAGCAAACAGGAUUAGAAACCCUUGUAGUCC
rnacentral:rRNA from 1 species